GCUCUCGUAGCUUAAUGGUCAGAACAUUGACACCUAAAGCCAAAGGUCCCGGGUUCAAUCCCCGGCGAGGGUG
rnacentral:tRNA from 1 species